rnacentral:pre_miRNA from 1 species
AGGGGGAGCACAGGAUCCUGGGCUGUGUCCUCCGGUGCCCUGGGAUCCAGGGCCUGUGCUGCUGGAAUCACGUUCCCGGAGCCGGGCCUCGU